rnacentral:rRNA from 1 species
GACGAACGCUGGCGGCGUGCUUAACACAUGCAAGUCGAACGGAAAGGCCCCGCUUUUUUCGGGUGCUCGACUGGCGAACGGGUGAUUCACCCGUGAGUAACCUGCCCUUGGGUUUGGGGUAACUUCAGGAAACUGGGUAUAAUACCCGAUCUGAGCUCCUGCUCCAUGGUCGGGGAUGGAAAGUUUAGGCGGUUCGGGAUAGGCGCGCGUCUUAUCUGGUUGUUGGUGGGGCAUUGGCAUACCAAGACUUUGACGGGUACCCGGCCUGUGAGGGUGACCGGCCACAUGGGGCCUACGGUACGGCGCAGACGCCUACGGGAGGCAGAAGUGGCGAAUAUGGCACAAUGGGCGGAAGCGUAAUGCAGCAGCGCCGCGUGCGUGAUGACGGCCUUCGGGUUGUAAACCGCUUUCGCCUAUGACGAAGCGUGAGUGACGGUAAUGGAUAAAGAAGCACCGGCUAAUUACGUG